UCCUUUGCUAAAGGUAUGGAAACCCACAU
rnacentral:piRNA from 1 species